AAAGAAUUAGUUAAAAAUUAACUUUAGCAUGUCAAGCUAAAAUUACCAGUUUUAAUCUGGUAUUCUUUA
rnacentral:tRNA from 1 species